rnacentral:rRNA from 1 species
GAGAGUUAUCCGUAACCUCCAACCCGUGUGAACUUACCGUCAUCGUUGCCUCGGCGGCGCUCGUGCGAGCGCCGCCGGCGGCCCAGCAACCUCUGUUAUUUUGUGAAUCUGAGCCUAAAAAAAACAAAUUGGAAAUUAAAACUUUCAACAACGGAUCUCUUGGCUCUGGCAUCGAUGAAGAACGCAGCGAAAUGCGAUAAGUAAUGUGAAUUGCAGAAUUUAGUGAAUCAUCGAAUCUUUGAACGCACAUUGCGCCCACCAGUAUUCUGGUGGGCAUGCCUGUUCGAGCGUCAUUUCAACCCCUUACGCCCUCGUCGCGUAGUGUUGGGAGGCUGCGGCGGAAGCGCCGCACCUCCUCAAAUCCAGUGGCGGAGUCGGUGGUCGUGCUCUAGGCGUAGUAGUUAACGUUGUUCUCGUCUCGCCUAGCGUCGCCCCGGCGGUCCUGCCGUGAAACCUCCCCCCCGCGGGGGAAUUUCUCUUAGAAGGUGA